rnacentral:rRNA from 1 species
CCUACGGGUGGCAGCAGUGAGGAAUAUUGGUCAAUGGGCGUAAGCCUGAACCAGCCAAGUCGCGUGAGGGAUGAAGGUUCUACGGAUCGUAAACCUCUUUUAUAAGGGAAUAAAGUGAGGCACGUGUCCUUUUUUGUAUGUACCUUAUGAAUAAGGAUCGGCUAACUCCGUGCCAGCAGCCGCGGUAAUACGGAGGAUCCGAGCGUUAUCCGGAUUUAUUGGGUUUAAAGGGUGCGUAGCCGGUGUUUUAAGUCAGUGGUGAAAGUCAGUGGCUCAACCGUAAAAUUGCAGUUGAGACUGGGAGGCUUGAGUAUGUUUGAGGUAGGCGGAAUGCGUGGUGUAGCGGUGAAAUGCUUAGAUAUCACGAAGAACACCGAUUGCGAAGGCAGCUUGCUAAACCGUGACUGACGCUGAUGCACGAAAGCGUGGGUAUCAAACAGGAUUAGAUACCCGAGUAGUC